rnacentral:rRNA from 1 species
GAUGAACGCUGGCGGCGUGCCUAAUACAUGCAAGUCGAGCGAACAGAACAGCAGCUUGUUCCUCUGACGUUAGCGGCGGACGGGUGCGUAACACGUGGAUAACUUACCUCUACGACCGGGUUAACUUCGGGCUACCGGAGCUAAUACUGGUUCACAUGUUGAACCGCAUGGUUCAACAGUGAAAGACGAUCUUGCUGUCACUUAUGGAUGGAUAGGCGACGCAUUAGCUAGUUGGUAAGGUAACGGCUUACCAAGGCAACGAUGAGUAGCGGACCUGAGAGGGUGAUAAGCCACACUGCAAUGGAAACGCGGUCCAGACUCCUACGGGAGGCAGCAGUAGGGAAUCUUACGUAAUGGGCGAAAGCCUGACGGAGAAACGCCGCGUGGGUGAAAAAGAUCUUCGGAUCGGAAAUCUCUGUUAUUAGUGAAGAACAAUAGUGUGAGUAACGAGGCACGUCUUGACGGUACCUAAUCAAAAAGCCACGGCUAACUACGUG